UCAAUUUUUUUUCUUCUUGCAGGUUCUAAAAUGCUUCAAAAACCUUCACCGCACCUGCCAAUCUGUGUUCCAGGGAGAUGAGGUUGCCCUGCAGGCUGCUGCAGACAGGUGAUGAAGCAGCGCUGUAUCUCAAGGAAAAUAUAGUCCAGUGUGAGCAAAAGCAAGAUGAUAAAUACAGAGUGGUGGUGAGACCCGAGCUGUUGUUUGAAGAGCGUCCCUACAGAGACCUGCCCGACUCCAACCUUCAACGAACUCGCCGCACCACGCAGUGUUGUGACCUAACAAAUCCUUGAACUAGAUUCAUGACUGUUUGAUGGCAGUCUGUUUUUUUAGGCGAUAUGUAUAGUCAGCCUGUGUAAAUACAGUCCAAGACCUAGAGGAUGAUAAUGGGCAGAUCGUAUUUAAUAAUUGGAGUUGACACCUCAAUAAGAUUGCAAUAGUGACCUUGUACAAAUAUUCUUUACUUGAAUUUAAGUAAUCACCUUUGCUGCACGUACACAAACCAUUACGUUUACUUUUUAAUUUUUGCAUUAUUAUAAAAUUGCGAUACCGUUCGAUGUCUCUAAAGAGACUUUCUGUACUGCAAGUUAGUGGCGACUUGCCAACCCUCGAUAAAAAAUUGCUUUCCUGUAUUAAAUUGGUAGCAUUAAUGUACAUAUAUGUACAGCAAGGAGAAGGAUAACUUGGUUACUUGAUUACUCCAUUCAUUCAUUUCAAACAUUUCCAAAGAGUUGGCAGUGGAUUUCAGCAUCAAGGAAAGAAAAAUUAAAUGCACUGGACAUUCA